AACGCACAUUGCGCUCUCUGGUAUUCCGGAGAGCAUGCUUGUUUGAGUAUCAGUAAACACCUCAAUUUCAAGAUUUUCUAUUUUGAAAUUGGACUUGAGCAUAUCCCAACGUGUAUUUAAUUACAUGGAGGGUUGCUUCAAAUGCAGGUGCAGCCGAUCAUUCUUCUGGGCUAAAAGCAUUAUCUAGUUAGUCCCGUAAAACGGAUUAUUCAUUUUAUUGCUGCAGCUUACCUUUAUAAAAGGAAGACAUGGUCAUUGUGCUGACUGAUGCAGGAUUUCUCAGAGGGUCUGCAAAGACUUUUUGAAAACUCGAUCUCAAAUCAAGUAAGACUACCCGCUGAACUUAA
rnacentral:misc_RNA from 1 species